GGGAACCCUUCCCAAUAUGGCUGUUCGCCAUUUCGGGAAGGGUU
rnacentral:rRNA from 1 species